rnacentral:rRNA from 1 species
CCUACGGGAGGCAGCAGUGGGGAAUUUUGGACAAUGGGGGCAACCCUGAUCCAGCCAUGCCGCGUGCGGGAAGAAGGCCUUCGGGUUGUAAACCGCUUUUGGCCGGGAAGAAAAGGCGUCAGCUAAUACCUGGCGUUCUUGACGGUACCGGCAGAAUAAGCACCGGCUAACUACGUGCCAGCAGCCGCGGUAAU